rnacentral:rRNA from 1 species
UCCUCCCUCUUUCUUCGUGCCUAAUACAUGCAAGUAGAACGCUGAAGGAGGAGCUUGCUUCUCUGGAUGAGUUGCGAACGGGUGAGUAACGCGUAGGUAACCUGCCUGGUAGCGGGGGAUAACUAUUGGAAACGAUAGCUAAUACCGCAUAAGAGUAGAUGUUGCAUGACAUUUGCUUAAAAGGUGCAAUUGCAUCACUACCAGAUGGACCUGCGUUGUAUUAGCUAGUUGGUGGGGUAACGGCUCACCAAGGCGACGAUACAUAGCCGACCUGAGAGGGGGAUCGGCCACACUGGGACUGAGACACGGCCCAGACUCCUACGGGAGGCAGCAGUAGGGAAUCUUCGGCAAUGGACGGAAGUCUGACCGAGCAACGCCGCGUGAGUGAAGAAGGGUUUCGGAUCGUAAAGCUCGGUUGUAAGAGAAGAACGAGUGUGAGAGUGGAAAGUUCACACUGUGACGGUAUCUUACCAGAAAGGGACGGCUAACUACGUG